GAUGAAGAACGUAGCGAAAUGCGAUAAGUAAUGUGAAUUGCAGAAUUCAGUGAAUCAUCGAAUCUUUGAACGCACCUUGCACCCUUUGGCAUUCCGAAGGGUAUGCUCGUUUGAGUGUCAUUGUACUCUCACACUCCCAAUUGCUUUGGAUUGGGAGCGGUGGACUUGGGUGUUGCUGCUUGACUGAGGCUCACCUGAAAUAUGUUAGUGCACCUCUUGAUUGGACAUAGUACGGCGUGAUAAGUGUCUUCGCCGGCUCCUCGCAAAGAGGGUGGCCGAUCGGGAGCUCUGUUGCUUCAAACUGUCUUCGGACAAUCUUCUGGCGACUUGACCUCAAAUCGAGUAGGACUACCCGCUGAACUUAAGCAUAUCAUAAGCGGAGGA
rnacentral:misc_RNA from 1 species